UACAGAGGUCUCAAGCGUUGUUCGGAUUCAUUGGGCGUAAAGGGUGCGUAGGUGGUGGGGUAAGUCGGAUGUGAAAUCCCGGGGCUCAGCCCCGGAACUGCAUUCGAUACUGCCUUGCUCGAGUACUGGAGAGGAGACUGGAAUUUACGGUGUAGCAGUGAAAUGCGUAGAUAUCGUAAGGAAGACCAGUGGCGAAGGCGAGUCUCUGGACAGUUACUGACACUGAGGCACGAAGGCCAGGGGAGCAAACGGG
rnacentral:rRNA from 1 species